UACGUAGGUGGCAAGCGUUGUCCGGAAUUAUUGGGCGUAAAGAGCUCGUAGGCGGCCUGUUGCGUCCGCUGUGAAAUCCCGGGGCUCAACCCCGGGCCUGCAGUGGAUACGGGCUGGCUGGAGGCAGGCAGGGGAGAACGGAAUUCCUGGUGUAGCGGUGAAAUGCGCAGAUAUCAGGAGGAACACCGGUGGCGAAGGCGGUUCUCUGGGCCUGUUCUGACGCUGAGGAGCGAAAGCGUGGGGAGCGAACAGG
rnacentral:rRNA from 1 species